GGCUGAGCUAGGCACAAAGUUUAUUUAUGGACAUCUGAGGUGGCCGAAGCUGUAAUCCACUCCAAGUACCUAAUCUAGAUCUCCCAUGCUGCAAUUUAAAUCAAUUUAUAUCUCUUUCACAGUCAGCCUGGAGGACACAUUACUCUUUUUAGUCCAAUAUUUGCCUUAUAUUUGUUAUUUUCUCCUGUAGACUAAUCAACUGUAUUUUCUCACAAACCAUGUCAUUAGACCUUUAAUAACUUGAUGAUCUCUUUGAAAUUCUCUCCAGGCAGUCCAUAUCUUGCUUCAAGGAAUUUGCUCAGUUUAUAUAUGUUUGAAGUACAGUUUCAACUAGAACAAAAGUGUUUGUUGUUUUUUUUUAAUGUUAUUGUAUUCCUGUUUAAAUUUCAAGUAGAAUGUUGAUCUAUUUUCUGCAAUAACAUACUUGAUAACUGCAGUAAGCCAGGAGUUAUUGUCUGCUAUAAUUCUGCUCCUCUGAACUACUGUGUAACUAGUUGUUAUCAUUAUGUAUUUGUGCAGCUUAUUAUUCCUACACUUCCUAGGUUUUCACUCCAUUUUUUCAUACAUUUUUCCUUAUUUUUUCAAACCUAUAUAUAUUUCUUUUUCUUUCAGGCAAGCAAAAGCCAUGUAUUCCUGUAAGGCUGAGCAUAGUCAUGAGCUGUCUUUCCCACAGGGGGCAAUAUUUUCCAAUGUGUAUCCAUCAGUAGAACCAGGCUGGUUAAAAGCAACUUACGAAGGCAAAACAGGACUCGUUCCUGAGAAUUAUGUUGUCUUCCUCUAGUAAUCUUCAGUGGACAGCAAUAUCUUCAUGGUAUCCAUGGUAACAAAUAAUAAGCACUAUGAUUUUUAUCUGACACAGAUAUGGGAUCAGCCCGUUAGCUGAGCGUGGUAGAUUUCCUUCAGAUACUGCAGCUGCAGGUUAUAUAGCUCCCUAUCAACGGAACAGAAUGUAAUGAAACAGUUAACAGUUACUGUACUGAAGACGGUACUCUGUUUAAAUAACUUCCAUUGUUUGCAAAAGGUUGUUCUGUUCUUCUUUUAUGGGUAAGGAACACUACAGAAAUAAAAUCAAAAAAGUUGCCAUUUAGCUGCAGACCUUCAGGUUCUCGGAUGUUGCUCAGAGAAGUGUGAAAUUUAGAGGCAAUGCACUCUGUGACAUUUCUUACAAUCUGUUUCUUUUAAUAUGAAAAAUUGUGGUUUUUUUCCUAAUGUAAGUAAUGUUUCUAUUGUGAUCUGAAUGCUCCCAUAGAAAAAUCAAUUCUGAGAUUAGUCCUAAUCAUUUCAAAUAAGAAAUGAGUCUUCCAUAAAUCAGAAGUUUGAACUUGUUAGUCACUGAGAUUACAAUAUGUUAUAGAAUUUAUGUAACUGAUAAUGAAAUCAGAUUAUACACUGCCUGAGCAGUAAGUGCUCAUUCAAAAUGUGAUGUGUUUAAUGAAUGUUUCAUUCAAGUACUUCUUAGAUUUAUUUCCUCCUUUCUAUAUCAAUAUAAAUAAGAAUAAUAAUAACUAGUAUUUCUGUAAUAGCAGUCAGGUGGAAGAUACUCUCGGUGUAUCUCAGAGCAACAGCAGUAGAAAACAAGGAAAUACUCAAUCUGGAAUGAUGGGUAGAUAUGAAGUGAGCAAUGAAAAGCAGCAAUAUGUUUUGAAACCUUAGAUAAAAAGUAACUAAGUCCUUUUCAAGUUUUUUUUUCCAUUUCAAAUAAGACAAAAGUACUUAGCAUUAUUUCUUCUGACUUCCACUAAAUUAUUUGGCAAAUGUUCCUCCGUUACAUGGGAUUAAAAAAAAAAUGAAAAAAAAUAAAAUAAAAUAACCUUGGUUGAUAAAGAUUUUGUAAAUACCCAUUGUCUGCUCUUGGUGGGCCUGGAAAAAAAAAGAAAAAAAAAGAAAAGAAGAUAUAAGCAGCUUCCUAAAUUUGAACCUCUUUCUUUUACACCUUGAGGGAAAACAUGCAGUGCUUACUUGGCUAGUUACCGUGGCCUGUUGAAAAACAAGAUACAUAAGCGCCAUAUUAGUAGCUUUUCAGCAUUAGUGGCACAGAAGGAAUCCACUGUUUCAUAGACCUAUUCAGUCUUAGUUCUUUGUUCAAUAACAGUAAUCAGUAUAUAAACUUCUGCUGAUUUAUAAGAUGUACACUGCUUCCAGAAUGUUUUAGGAAGAACUUUUGCUAGGACUAAAAACACCAGUAAUCUACCAGUUGCUUAUUUCUAAGCCUUUUGGGGGUUUAAAUUAAAAAACAGAUUUAUUGCCAAUAUUAAGAAGCACAUCAGAACCUUCUUUACUUGUGUAUAGCGCAUGAUUUCUGAAAAAAAAAUCCGUGUUGGAAUUCAGGCUGGUGGCAAAAGCCUGCAGGAUCCUUCUCGCUAGUUGAAGUAUCAAGUGGCACUCAGGAAAGUGGAGAGACUGGAAGAACAUCCUUUCAAGAAUGGUGUGGCGUUUCAGAGGGGAGGUCUGUGGCAGUAAGCCAGGCCAGUGUGGGUAAGGCAGUUGAGGAGAGACCCCUUGAAUUAGUGACUGACUGAUCUGGGUUCUUUCUUCACCCUAAACAGUUUUAUUAGGUCCCAAAUCAUGUUUUCCCUCACCUUAAGACCAGGCUGUAUUCAGUACAUUGUGAUGAAGGGUUCAUCGCAGGCAGUGGAGGCACACACGUGUGCUUGUCAAAUUUUCCCAGAGCGUGAAGGGAAGUGAAGAGAAGGACUUUUUCACCAGACUGAGCCUUAUUUUUAAUGCAAGCCAACAUUUGUUUGUGUAAGCUAUGCCUGCAGCUGCUGUUGCCCUCAGAUCAACAUGGGUUUUGUUGUAUUUUUACUGUUAUUUCACAAUCCAAAAAUUGCAGGGUGCCAAAAGGCUUCCCUCUGUUGAACUGCUCAGGAGAAUGCUGCUGCAGGGGAAGAGGAGUAGAAAGGGAGACAGAGCUGUGAGCAGAGGUUCCAGGCCCUGCACGUGCCUCACCCACAUGGAGAAAUGCAGUGGUCUGGGUCUAUCAAUUGCACCAGGCAAACUGACCUUUGUUUAACAUCCUUUUCUGACCCCUCGUGCCUCUUACGAGGAAUUUGAUUGUUGUGAAAUUCUUGAGGAACGGUGAAACAGAAAAUGCGUGCUCUUACUUGCUUUGCUUUAGUCUGAGUAAAUCAAAAACAAAAUGAAAAGAGAGAGCAGGAGAAGACUAAUUGUAGGUAACCUCACAACGUUUGCAUGUGUUUGGAUAUUCUGCAACAGGAUGUUUUGAAACCAGCUGAUCUGAGUGCAAGCUAGAAGACUCAAAGAUGCUCAGUUCGUAUAAAAAAUCAUAAAAAUGAAAGGUUCAGUUACAGAUUAAGUAGAGCCUGUAAGCAUUGAGGGAAAGGUUGUAGAAGGAGGAAUCCCUGUAGAGAGGUGGUGUGUCUUUUGCCGUGCAUUCAUCUUACAUUAGACACACAAGUCAGUUGCAGAAGGCGGUUUCAUGAGAAAGGGAUCUCAUUCAUUCUGCUACUCACAAAACAAAUCUAUCUUUUCCUCUUUAAGACUGUGCACUUUUCAAGGCUCUUAUUCUGUUGAACCAGCCAUGGUAAUCACAUAAAUAAUUUUAAAGUAGCUUAGCUUUAAAAUGUUAUUUUCAUCUGGAAAUGUUCCUCCCAUGCUUGAUUACACUUAGUAUCAAUGGAAAGUAGGGUUAUUCUGGUCCUCUCUACUGCGGUACAUAACAAGCACUUUCUGUAUCAUUCCACUGCUGGGUUGUAGAUGCCUCUGCUCUUCCCUGACUUUCCAAGAGGGAGUUUAUCUCCAGGAGAAGCUGUACAGUGAACUGGAAAGUUACGUACCUGGGUGCUCACUGACUGGAAUGGGGGAAGAGUGCAGCACCAAGGCUUGUCUACUGACAAGACUCUCAGCCCUGGCCAAAAAUCCCUUCUAAUAUUUGUAAAGGAUCAGAAAUCCAUGUAAAAUUUAAAUGACGAUAUAAUACUGAGAUAGUGCCUUACCAGCAAGUUAGGCAAGCUGAACUAAAUUAGUUCAUAGGAUUGAUUUACUAUUUUUUGUGAAAGUCAGAGUCACUCUACAAGCAAAGUUUAAUUUUAUUAUAGUUUUUUUUUUAAUUAUCCUUCCUAAAAGGAUAUAGCAGUUUUCUCAGAAUAUCACUGUAGAAUUUGAGGUAGAUAACAUGUUGUGAUUGCUGUUUGUCUUGUGAAAAUACCCACCACUUAAGUAAUUAGCCAUGUUUUUUCUAUGUUAAACUUGUGGUACAUGUUGCAGUACAACAUGAAUCAAAUUAAUAGUGUGAAGGACUGAUAUAUUGUAUGAUAAAUAUGUAAAGUAUAUUAUAUUAUAUAUUCACACUUUUUAUUAAUGAUAAAGAUGAAAAAAUAUUUUUUGUGUAAUUCCUAUGAGUUCAGUAUUAAAAUGUCCUUGCCAUAUUUUGGCAUUUAGAAUACUAUGUAACAAAACUCUUAAAUUAAACCAUAGAUAUCACUUAAGUCCCUAACUAAUCUAUAAAGUUCAUUUGUUCGAUUAUUUCUGGAAAAAAAUGACGCACAGAUUUGCUGACCAGUCUACUCUAUGAUAGUAAUAGUAACUUAUUUAACUUUUAUAUAUUUUCUGUUGAUAAUCUCUAUUAUUUGCCUGUAAUUGAAUUCAUUUUAAUAUGCCUUUAGGAAAGAUAUGUUAGGAAGAGAAAAGGAUGCAAAAUUCAGCAGUUCAGAACAAUAGUUACAACAACAAAAAAGCAUUAUAUGGUAGUAAUUGGCUUUUUGUUACAUUUCCCCACUGGUCUAUUUUCUAGUUAAUAAGGUUGGAUCAGAAUAAAUGAUGAACCCCCAAAACCUGUUGUUCCUAAUACUUCCUUUCCUAAGGCAGCAGUUGGUACAAUUUUGCAUUGAGUAGCAAGAAGAGAAAGCCCAGUAAGGAAGCUUACCCUCAGGCUGGGGUGGAUCUUCUAGACUGAUGGAAACUCUCAGAGCUCUAGUGAGCACAAAGAUAGACCCUUGGCAAAUUAUAGUGAGGUUUCGCUGGCCAGAAGCCCCCAUACAGUAAAUGUAAUAUAAAUAGAAUAUUCUGUUAAUGGGAAAACAUGUGAUAUGUCUUGGCAUUAUCCUUUUGUUGUUUUUGUUGUUCAUCAGAGCGCCUUAUCUGAAUCAUUCAGUUACCAGAGAUCAAACUAAGCAAGGUUCAGUUCCACUCUUUGUGGUCAUGCAGCCCUGACAGCCACUGCUGAUGCAGCCCUUCCAGUUACUGUUGGUGCAAAAGGCAGACUGUUGAUCAGGCUCUAUCAGUACAAGUCGGGAGGUCUCUUUUUGCAUAGGAUUUUGCAAGGGCUUUGGGAGUUUGCUUUGUUUUGUUUUAAUAAGGUGCUUGGUAUCCAAACAGCUACUAAUACAAUGUUGUAAUUCAGUCACUGAAGAUAAUAGCAUUGUUUUUCUUGUCCUGUAUGUGGCAGUAUUUAAUAAGCCAUAGGAUAAUCUGUGUUAAGUAUAGAGAAUGGUGCUUCAACCCUUGGACGUCUCAGCUGAAAGCUAUUCUGCAACUGAUCUUUUCGCAAGUGUUGUAUCAAUAAUUGUCAUAAAGUUCUGGCACUAGAGGCUGCAUAAUGAUCUCAGCACUACAAGAGUUUCUGUUAGAGCAAAGGGCAAAGCAGCUGAACAGGACAGAUAGCUUCAAUUUUUCAAGCAUAUUUAUGACGAUUUUAGAGGUAUUAGAGUUUAUAGGGGUUACCUUAGAAACUAUAUGGUAUUUUAAUAGGAAAGUAUAUACAAUCAAUAACUAUAUAUAUAUUUAAUAAAGUCCUACUAAAUUAUCUUA